CCUACGGGUGGCAGCAGUGGGGAAUAUUGGACAAUGGGCGCAAGCCUGAUCCAGCCAUGCCGCGUGAGUGAUGAAGGCCCUAGGGUUGUAAAGCUCUUUCACCCACGAGGAUAAUGACGGUAGUGGGAGAAGAAGCCCCGGCUAACUUCGUGCCAGCAGCCGCGGUAAUACGAAGGGGGCUAGCGUUGUUCGGAAUCACUGGGCGUAAAGCGCACGUAGGCGGACUUUUAAGUCAGGGGUGAAAUCCCGGGGCUCAACCUCGGAACUGCCUUUGAUACUGGAAGUCUUGAGUCCGAGAGAGGUGAGUGGAACUCCGAGUGUAGAGGUGAAAUUCGUAGAUAUUCGGAAGAACACCAGUGGCGAAGGCGGCUCACUGGCUCGGUACUGACGCUGAGGUGCGAAAGCGUGGGGAGCAAACAGGAUUAGAUACCCGAGUAGUC
rnacentral:rRNA from 1 species